rnacentral:rRNA from 1 species
GGCGGACGGGCUGAGCUAAUGCUUGGGAAUAUGCCUUAUGGUGGGGGACAACAGUUGGAAACGACUGCUAAUACCACAUGAUGUCUACGGACCAAAGUGGGGGACCUUCGGGCCUCACGCCGUAAGAUUAGCCCAAGUGGGAUUAGCUAGUUGGUGAGGUAAUGGCUCACCAAGGCGACGAUCCCUAGCUGGUUUGAGAGGAUGAUCAGCCACACUGGGACUGAGACACGGCCCAGACUCCUACGGGAGGCAGCAGUGGGGAAUAUUGCACAAUGGGCGCAAGCCUGAUGCAGCCAUGCCGCGUGUGUGAAGAAGGCCUUCGGGUUGUAAAGCACUUUCAGUAAGGAGGAAAGGUUAAGUGUUAAUAGCACUUAGCUGUGACGUUACUUACAGAAGAAGCACCGGCUAACUCCGUGCCAGCAGCCGCGGUAAUACGGAGGGUGCGAGCGUUAAUCGGAAUUACUGGGCGUAAAGCGUAC